rnacentral:rRNA from 2 species
GGCGGCGUGCCUAAUACAUGCAAGUCGAACGGACAAGUAAGAGCUUGCUCUUAUGAGUUAGUGGCGCACGGGUGAGUAAUGUAUAGUUAAUCUGCCCUACACUGGAGGACAACAGUUAGAAAUGACUGCUAAUACUCCAUACUCCUUCUUAGCACAAGUUAAGUCGGGAAAGUUUUUUCGGUGUAGGAUGAGACUAUAUUGUAUCAGCUAGUUGGUAAGGUAAUGGCUUACCAAGGCUAUGACGCAUAACUGGUCUGAGAGGAUGAUCAGUCACACUGGAACUGAGACACGGUCCAGACUCCUACGGGAGGCAGCAGUAGGGAAUAUUGCUCAAUGGGGGAAACCCUGAAGCAGCAACGCCGCGUGGAGGAUGACACUUUUCGGAGCGUAAACUCCUUUUCUUAGGGAAGAAUAAUGACGGUACCUAAGGAAUAAGCACCGGCUAACUCCGUGCCAGCAGCCGCGGUAAUACGGAGGGUGCAAGCGUUACUCGGAAUCACUGGGCGUAAAGGACGCGUAGGCGGAUUAUCAAGUCUUUUGUGAAAUCUAAUGGCUUAACCAUUAAACUGCUUGAGAAACUGAUAAUCUAGAGUGAGGGAGAGGCAGAUGGAACUGGUGGUGUAGGGGUAAAAUCCGUAGAGAUCACCAAGAAUACCCAUUGCGAAGGCGAUCUGCUAGAACUCAACUGACGCUAAUGCGUGAAAGCGUGGGGAGCAAACAGGAUUAGAUACCCUGGUAGUCCACGCCCUAAACGAUGCAUACUCGUUGUUGCUCUGCUAGUCAGGGCAGUAAUUCAGCUAACGCAUUAAGUAUGCCGCCUGGGGAGUACGGUCGCAAGAUUAAAACUCAAAGGAAUAGACGGGGACCCGCACAAGCGGUGGAGCAUGUGGUUUAAUUCGAUGAUACGCGAAGAACCUUACCUGGGCUUGAUAUCCUAAGAACCUCUUAGAGAUAAGAGGGUGCUAGCUUGCUAGAACUUAGAGACAGGUGCUGCACGGCUGUCGUCAGCUCGUGUCGUGAGAUGUUCGGUUAAGUCCGGCAACGAGCGCAACCCACGUAUUUAGUUGCUAACAGUUCGGCUGAGCACUCUAAAUAUACUGCCUUCGUAAGGAGGAGGAAGGUGUGGACGACGUCAAGUCAUCAUGGCCCUUAUGCCCAGGGCGACACACGUGCUACAAUGGCAUAUACAAUGAGACGCAAUACCGCGAGGUGGAGCAAAUCUAUAAAAUAUGUCCCAGUUCGGAUUGUUCUCUGCAACUCGAGAGCAUGAAGCCGGAAUCGCUAGUAAUCGUAGAUCAGCCAUGCUACGGUGAAUACGUUCCCGGGUCUUGUACUCACCGCCCGUCACACCAUGGGAGUUGAUUUCACUCGAAGCCCAAAUACCAAACUGGUUAUGGUCCACAGUGGAAUCAGCGACUG